rnacentral:rRNA from 1 species
GACGAACGCUGGCGGCGUGCUUAACACAUGCAAGUCGAACGGAAAGGCCCUGCUUGCAGGGUACUCGAGUGGCGAACGGGUGAGUAACACGUGGGUGAUCUGCCCUGCACUUCGGGAUAAGCCUGGGAAACUGGGUCUAAUACCGGAUAGGAGCCAUUUUUAGUGUGAUGGUUGGAAAGUUUUUUCGGUGUAGGAUGAGCUCGCGGCCUAUCAGCUUGUUGGUGGGGUAAUGGCCUACCAAGGCGGCGACGGGUAGCCGGCCUGAGAGGGUGGACGGCCACAGUGGGACUGAGAUACGGCCCAGACUCCUACGGGAGGCAGCAGGGGGGAAUAUUGCACAAUGGGCGCAAGCCUGAUGCAGCGACGCCGCGUGGGGGAUGACGGCCUUCGGGUUGGAAACUCCGUUCGCUAGGGACGAAGCUUUUUGUGACGGUACCUAGAGAAGAAGCACCGGCUAACUACGUG